rnacentral:rRNA from 1 species
CCCUUAGAUGUUCUGGGCUGCACGCGCGCUACACUGACGCACGCAACAGGUGCCUGCUCCGAGAGGACUGGGUAAUCAUUUGAGUGUGCGUCGUGAUGGGGAUAGAAUAUUGUAAUUAUUACUCUUCAACGAGGAAUUCCUAGUAAGCGCCAGUCAGCAGCUUGCGCUGAUUACGUCCCUGCCCUUUGUACACACCGCCCGUCACUCCUACCGAUGGGUGAUCCGGUGAAUGAUUCGGACUUCAGCGGCUCCCCUGGGGUGCGCCGGAGAAAGUUUUGUGAACCUUAUCACUUGGAGGAAGGAGAAGUCGUAACA